rnacentral:rRNA from 1 species
GACUUUUGGACAAUGGGCGAAAGCCUGAUCCAGCAACGCCGCGUGCAGGAUGAAGGCCUUCGGGCUGUAAACCGCUUUUUUACGGAACGAAAAGCUUUGGGUUAAUACCCUGGAGUCAUGACGGUACCGUAAAAACAAGCACCGGCUAACUAAGGCCCAGCCGCCGCGGUAAUACGUAGGGUGCAAGCGUUAAUCGGAAUUACUGGGCGUAAAGCGUGCGCAGGCGGUUUUGUAAGACAGAGGUGAAAUCCCCGGGCUCAACCUGGGAACUGCCUUUGUGACUGCAAGGCUAGAGUACGGCAGAGGGGGGUGGAAUUCCGCGUGUAGCAGCGAAAUGCGUAGAUAUGCGGAGGAACACCGAUGGCGAAGGCAACCCCCUGGGCCUGUACUGACGCUCAUGCACGAAAGCGUGGGGAGCAAAC